GGUGAUGCUUGACUUUGUUGUACAGCUGCAGUUUGUGUGGUGAAGGUGCUCCCACAAUGUGGUUGGGAUACUACAGGUGGACAUUCAGAUGGUAAUCUCAGUCAUUGUAACACCAAACUCUGAUUGAAUUAGUCAGUUCAUCAGGACCUGGAUAUUCGCAUUGUGUGGUGCUACAUGGUGAAGGUUUGCAGACUGAAAUCUCAAAAUCAUGUGCAGAUUGUGAUUAAGUUAACCAGCAUUUGAAGAACCAAAGAUGGAGAAUCACUCGGCCAAAAUCCUGCACACUCUCCUCACAGCAUUGUCGGUCUCUCUGCAACAAAUGGACUGUGAAUGGUUCAAGACAGCAGCUCACUACCAUCUUCUCAAGGGUAACUAGAGAUGGGGAAUAAAUGCUGGCUGAGCCAGUGAUGCCCAUAUCCUGGAAAUGGGUUCUAUCUCUCGUUGCUGAAA